UUUUGGAGGGCAAGUCUGGUGCCAGCAGCCGCGGUAAUUCCAGCUCCAAUAGCGUAUAUUAAAGUUGUUGCAGUUAAAAAGCUCGUAGUUGAAUUUCGGGAUCAAUAUUUCGGUCAUGCCGUUGGUAUGCACUGUUAUCAUUGAUUUCUCACCUUCUAAAGAACCGUAAUGCCCAUUAAUUUGGUUUACGGGAAUUAGGACUGUUACCUUGAAAAAAUUAAAGUGUUUAAAGCAGGCAA
rnacentral:rRNA from 1 species